AUAAAAUAAAUUAAAAUCAAUAAAACUUUUAAAAAUAAAAAUAAAUAGAAAGUAAAAUAUAAUAAAUUUGUUAGCUUUAAAUCAGAGAUAUUCUUUAAGAUAUUCUCAAUUAUAACAAUAAUAAUUCUGCAUGCAAAUAUUUUGGUGUAUUAUUCAUCGGUAUUAACGAUGCAUUAAAUCAGAGGAAAAUUUAAUUAAAAUUAAAUUAAAUAUUAUUAUACAAUAUGUAAAAUGAAUAGCAAAAAUCAUGAACAGAACAAUUAUCAAUGUUUUUUCAGAGUCUAAACUCCCCUUUCUUCUAUACAGGAAUUAAACAAAAUCACAUGUUUUCCACAACUUAAAAAAUCCAACAGAAUCACAAUUCUCGUUUUGCAGGGAAAUUAAUUUCUGUGAAGUGAUUGUCAUAUUAAACAGGUUUAUAUCCACUCAUUAUGGACAGACCCGAAUUCAAAAUCCAACCAAAAAAAAAAAGAAAAAACAUAUAAAGAAAGAAUUAUUAGAAGCACGUUUUUAUCAUUAUCAGUUGUUGGGAAGAUAAUGUUUAAUUUCUUGCUUUGCUUCAAUAAGACCGACAGUUGUCAGUGACAACAGAAUAUUCAGAAUUUCUUUUACUUUCUUUGGAAUUUGAUGCUCAUAAAAACCAUGGUAGAUUCUUGGCUACAAAGUUGACUUUCUUGAAAAUAUACCCAAUACCAUUCUUCUUCUUUGUUUUUUCUUACUGUUUCUUUCUUUCUAUGCAGAAUUUCCUGAUUCUGAUGUUUUGAUUUUCCUUUUAUGCUAAUUCCUGUAUGUUUCCCUUUAGUUUGAAAGAUAUGCCAUUUUAAGCCAUUGUGAUUAAUGAGAGCCCAGCAGUUUUAAACAUGAAAUUAAGUAAGGAAGAACUCGAUAAGAAGCUUGGAUGAGUAUGCACUGUAGUGGUUGAUGAUUCUAUUAUGCUAUGCUCUACAGUCCUUUCUUGGAAAAUUCUUUUCACCAAAAGAGCAGAACAGGAAGAAAAUGAAGAAAGGUUCACUUGCUAUAUCUGGCAAGUGCUGUGGAAAAUUGAAAACCAAUCAUUUAUCAUCAUUGUUUUCUUGUUCAUGUCUUGGGAAUCAAAUGGAAGAUAAAAAAGACUUCCUUUUUGUCUUUACAAAGAUGACAUUAUUCCAUGUUCUUUUUCUAGAUUAGUUACAAAAUAUGAAGGGGUCAAGGUCUUGGAACAGUUAAAUUGAUAAUCAUAAAACAAAGACCAGAGCAUAAUUGCAAUUUGCUUCCAAAAUUGAGAAUAUAUUCUUGCUUUAAUGUUUUGCAAGAAAGCAAACAAGAAUGGUAUAUUUUUAACUUUCUUUAUUCAACUGAUGCUCAAUAUUGGAUUGAUGUUUUGAUUUUCCACUUCUUUUUAUUCAAUCUCAUUAUGACUGCUUUAUCAUCUAUGGGAAAAGAAAUGUGGUGGAAUCUAACAGGUCCUUGGAUUUGUUUAAUACCAAACUGCAAAAGGAAGCUGAAUUUCUUCUGGCCUGAAAAGAGUGUCCUUAAAUUCCACUACCUACUAUCUUGAUGCAGCUUGUUACUUAUCAGAACUCUGCUCUCCAAUCUUUCUACUUGCAGAAACACACUCUGAUUUAGCAAUCCAGUAUCUAUUUUCCAACUGUUUAAGCACUCCAAUGCCAAGCAAUAGAACUCAAUCAUUCAGAGUCUUUGUAGCAACAUGGAAUGUGGGGGGGAAAUCUCCUCAUAACAGCUUGAACUUGGAUCAGUUUCUUCAGAUCCACAAUCAAUCAGAUAUUUAUGUUUUAGGAUUUCAGGAAAUUGUUCCACUGAAUGCUGGAAAUGUACUUGUGGUAGAAGACAAUGAGCCUGCUGCAAAAUGGCUAGCUUUAAUUGAUCAAUCACUAAACAGAUCACGCAGUGUAGCUAUAAGAGGAUCAAAAAACUUAACCCCACUUGGCAGCUCACUUUUGUUUCAAAAGCCUUCUCUGAGGAAGAUCUGUAAGAAUUUCAGAACUGAAAGUAGAAGGAGGCUAAAGACAUGCAACUGUAGUCAUGGAUUACAAAGGAAGAAUAGCAAAGAUUUCUGUUUAUGGUGUCCACCUACAAACUUAAGUGAAGAUGAUGAUGUUUCCUUGGAGGGUGCUGAUGAUGGACUUGAAAGCUAUGUAUCUUCAGCAGUUUCCAAUGCUAGUUGUGUCAACCAGCAGAAGUACAGUCUUAUAGUGGGCAAACAAAUGGUUGGAAUUUUUGUUACAGUUUGGGUAAGGAAAGAGCUUGUUCAGUAUGUUAGCCACUUGAGAGUCUCUUACGUUAGCCGUGGGAUCAUGGGCUACCUUGGAAACAAGGGAUGUAUAUCUGUUAGCAUGUCUUUCCAUCAGACAAGCUUUUGCUUUGUCUGCAGUCACUUGGCAUCAGGAGAGAAAGAGGGAGAUGAAUUAAGGAGAAAUAUGGAUGUGAUAGAGAUACUUAAAAAUACACAAUUUCAGAGAAUAUGCAGAUCACCUUUUUCUCGGGUACCUGAGAAAAUUUUUGAGCAUGACCGUGCCAUAUGGUUAGGGGACCUGAAUUACAGAAUAGCUUUGAGCUACUCUGAAACCCGAAAGCUGCUGGAGCGAAAUGAUUGGAAAGCAUUGUUUGACAAAGAUCAGCUAAAAAUUGAGAGAGAAGCUGGGAGAGUUUUCAAGGGAUGGAAAGAAGGGAAGAUCUACUUUGCACCCACAUACAAAUACUCAUACAAUUCAGACACUUAUGCUGGAGAGACUACAGAAACGAAAAACAAAAGAAGAACUCCAGCUUGUUCAAGAUCUACAGGUGUGAUAGAAUACUUUGGCGUGGAAAUGGGAUACACCAACUUUCAUACGUACGUUGGGAGUCCCAGUUUUCUGACCACAGGCCUGUUUGCUCAACAUUUAUGGUGGAUGUAGAGCUUACUGAUAAUGAAUCAAAUAAGGGUUCAUCAAACUUUAAUAUGAAAGUUGCAAGCGAAGAGUACCUGCCUCCAGCUAGAAAGUAAUUGCUUCAGGUUUUAACAAGCUGGUUGCAACUGUUUUAAGAUUGAAGAGAACCAAAUUUUGCCUUCACAUAGGGUAGAGAGUAGCAUUCUUGUUGUGGCAACUUAAUGUAGUUCUGCGGCUAAAACUUCCAUUACAGAGUUGUGAUUCAAACUCGGCAUCUCAGAUGGAAUAGUAAGCCAGUUAUUUUUCUGCACAGAAAAUUAAGAGGAUGAAGUUUAUUUGAAAAGAGAAAUAAAACUUUCUCCUCAAUGGCAUCCUCUAAUUCUUCCCAAUGUUUAUACAUUGGCUGCAUUUUUUUCUGACAGACAGCUAAGUUAGUCUGCAAUCACACAGGAGUUGCAACUGUGUUUUUAUAUGUGAAAAGUAAUCCAUCACAAUUUGAGGAUAGUGGGUUCCAAACUCGGGACUCAUUAGCCACCAUUGAAACAUUUGGACGAGUUAUGAUGGAUGUAAUAACUCAUUACACAGAAAAUUCUGUAAUAUCUAAUUUUAUAAUUUAUUAUUCA